rnacentral:ncRNA from 1 species
UCCACCGAGUUUAAGCAUAUAAAUAAGCAGAUGAUAAGAAAUUUACAAGGAUUCCCCUAGUAACAGGGAGCGAACCGGGAGCAGCCCACCUUGAGAAUCGGGUAGCCUCACUACUCAAUUGGAGAGGUGUCCUCAGAGAUGGACCAGGCCCAAGUUCCCUGGAAAGGGAUGCCUUGGAGGGUGAGAGCCCCAUCCGACCCAGACCCUGUCUCACCAUGAGGUGCUGCCAACGAGUCGGGUUGUUUGGUAAUGCAGCCCAAAUCAGGCGAUAAACUCCGACCAAGGCUAAAUACAAGUGAGAGAUCGAUAGCGAACAAGUACCGCGAGGGAAAGAUGAAAAGAACUUUUAAAAGAGAGUCAAAGAGUGCUUGAAAUUGCUAGGAGGGAAGAGGAUGGGGGCUGGCGAUGCGCAUCGAUCAUAUGCGGAACGACCUCUGCUGGUCCGCCGCUCACCUCGGGGUGUGGACUGUUGUCGGCCACACCAACGGCCUAAGCCCGAGGACUUUAGGUGCCCCCAGCCACCAUCGUCGGCACGGCCAGUUUCCACACGUUGUAAGGUGCAUCCCUCAAGACGCUGCGCUGCAACGGCCUACGGGCUCCCCAUUCGACCCAUCUUGAAAUGCGUACCAAGGAGUCUGACAUGUGUGCGAGUCAACAUGUUCUUAAACCUGGUAUGUGCAAGGAACCUAACAAGCGGGAGGCCCUCACUGGCCUCACCACUGGCUGACCUUGAUCUUCUAUGAAGGGUUUGAGUUGGAGCACACCCGUCGAGACCCGAAAGAUGGUGAACUAUGCUUGAGCAAGGUGAAGCUAGAGGGAACUCUGGUGGGGCCUUGAAGCAAUACUGAUGAUUAGAGGCAUCGGGGGCGCAACGCCCUCAACUUGUUCUCAAACUUUAAAUAGGUAGGACGGUGCGACUGCUUCAGUGAGCUGUACCAUGGAAUUGGGAGAUCCAAGUGGGCAAUUUUUGGUAAGUAGAACUGGCGAUGUAGGAUGAACCAGAAGCUAGGUCAUGGUGCCAAACUGCGCACUAACCUAGAACCCACAAAGGGUGUUGGUUGAUUAAGAUAGCAGGAUUGUGGUCAUGUAUGUUGAAAUCCACUAAGGAGUGUGUAACAACUCACCUGCUGACCCACACUAAAGCGCACGACCCACACUCGGCAACCUGGGCAAGCGCUAUGCCCUGAUGAGUAGGAGGGUGCGGCGGCCGCUGCAAAACCCGGGGUGCAAGACCGGCCUGAGCGACCAUCGGUGCAGAUCUUGGUGGUAGUAGCAAAUAUUCAAAUGAGAACUUUGAAAGCUGUAGAGGAGGAAGGUUCCAUGUGAACAGCACUUGCACAUCGGUAAGCCGAUCCUAAGGGAUGGGGUAACCCCGGCAAAGGGCGAUCACACGCGCUGCCCAGAAGGGAAUCGGGUUAAGAUUUCCCAAGCUGGGAUGUGGCAAUUGACGGUAAUGUUAGGAAGUCCAGAGAUGCCGGUGGGGGCCUCGGGAAGAGUUAACUUUUCUGCUUAACGGCCUGCCAACUCUAGAAAUGGUUCAGCUGGAGGUAGGGUCCAAUGGUCGGAAGAGCACCGCACAUCGCGCGGUGUCCUGUGCACCCCUAGCAGCCCAUGAAAAUCCGGAGGACCGAGUACCAUCCAUGCCAGGUCAUACUCAUAAACGCAUCAGGUCUCCAAGGUGAACAACCUCUAGCC